AUUGAACGCUGGCGGCAUGCCUAACACAUGCAAGUCGAACGGCAGCACGCUCUUAGCGUUGCCUUCGGGGGGCCGAGGGGCGAGUGAUGCAUCGGAACAUCGGCGUCUGCUGGUGCGAAGGGGCCAACGGAGGGGCACAUACGGCAAUACCGCAGACGACCAAAGCGGGGGAGCAUCGGGCCUUCCGACCUCGCGCGAGCGGAUGUCCUGUUGCCGGUUUUGCUAGUUGGAGGGGUAAAGGCCGACCAAGGCGACGAUCCGUAGCUGGUCUGAGAGGAUGAUCAGCCACACUGGAACUGAGACACGGUCCAGACUCCUACGGGAGGCAGCAGUGGGGAAUAUUGGACAAUGGGCGCAAGCCUGAUCCAGCCAUGCCGCGUGGGUGAAGAAGGCCUUCGGGUUGUAAAGCCCUUUUGUCGGGGAAGAAAACCGUCAGGCUAAUAGCCCGGCGGGAUGACGGUACCCGCAGAAGAAGCACCGGCUAACUUCGUG
rnacentral:rRNA from 1 species